ACGGGAGGCAGCAGUGAGGAAUAUUGGUCAAUGGACGAGAGUCUGAACCAGCCAUGUCGCGUGAAGGAUGAAGGUUUUAUGAAUUGUAAACUUCUUUUAUAGGGGGAUAAAGUGAGUCUCGUGAGGCUUUUUGCAUGUACCCUAUGAAUAAGCAUCGGCUAACUCCGUGCCAGCAGCCGCGGUAAUACGGAGGAUGCGAGCGUUAUCCGGAUUUAUUGGGUUUAAAGGGUGCGUAGGCGGAUUAUUAAGUCAGUGGUGAAAGUUUGCGGCUCAACCGUAAAAUUGCCAUUGAAACUGAUAGUCUUGAGUGCGGUAGAGGUAGGCGGAAUGUGUAGUGUAGCGGUGAAAUGCUUAGAUAUUACACAGAACACCAAUUGCGAAGGCAGCUUACUGGAGCGCAACUGACGCUGAGGCACGAUAGCGUGGGGAUCGAACAGGAUUAGAUACCCUGGUA
rnacentral:rRNA from 1 species